rnacentral:rRNA from 1 species
UACGGGAGGCAGCAGUGAGGAAUAUUGGUCAAUGGACGCAAGUCUGAACCAGCCACGUCGCGUGAAGGAAGACGGCCCUACGGGUUGUAAACUUCUUUUGUAAGGGAAUAAAGUGCAGUACGCGUACUGUUUUGCAAGCACCUUGCGAAUAAGGAUCGGCUAACUCCGUGCCAGCAGCCGCGGUAAUACGGAGGAUCCGAGCGUUAUCCGGAUUUAUUGGGUUUAAAGGGUGCUCAGGCGGGGGAUUAAGUCGGCGGUGAAAUUUCACAGCUCAACUGUAAAAGUGCCUUCGAAACUGGUUUCCUUGAGUGUGGAUGAGGUAGGCGGAAUUUGUGGUGUAGCGGUGAAAUGCAUAGAUAUCACGAGGAACUCCGAUUGCGCAGGCAGCUUACUAAGCCAUAACUGACGCUCAAGCACGAAGGCGUGGGGAUCAAACAGGAUUAGAUACCCUGGUAGUCCACGCAGUAAACGAUGAUUACUGGCUGUUUGCGAUAUAAUGUAAGCGGCUGAGCGAAAGCGUUAAGUAAUCCACCUGGGGAGUACGUUCGCAAGAAUGAAACUCAAAGGAAUUGACGG